UCUUCUUUCGCUUAAAAAAUCCUAACUUGUUUGCUGUUGUUCUCGGAAUCAAGAUUGCAACGAUUCUUAAUUUGUAAGGCUUCAAGAUCUGAAAACGUAGAACUGGAAUUUCAGUGGUCAUCAGUGGAUCAACCCUAAUCUGCAAAACAGAACGACUACAGUACAGUGCUUAGCAGGCUCAAAAUAGCAGUGCAAGGAAAAAAAAUUAAACAAUAUCUCAUUUGUGUGCUAGGUACACUGUUUCGCAGGCUCAAAAUAGCAGUGUAAGGAAUAAAAUCGUACAAUACAUCAUUUGUGUGAUUGGGAGAUUGGAAAGUCUACCUAUUUGCAGACAGGUACAUUCUCUUCUUCAUAUCAUUUGUAAUAUGCAUACAUAACAUAAAUAAUCCUGUCUAUAUUUCACCUCUAUUUGCAGAGGUGUGUUUCCUCUUGCAGCACAUUGCA